rnacentral:sRNA from 8 species
CUGCAGCAUGCUAUGUCGAACGGGUGUCUGUGCUAAGUUCGGUAUCGAUAUGGUGUUCUUGGGGGAGCCCGAGACCACCAGGUUGUCUAAGGAGGGGUGUACCGGCCCAGGUCGGAAACGAAGCAGGUCAAAUCCCCCGUGCUGUCCAGUAGUGGGAUAGUGCCUGUGAGUAGAUACUGCAGUGCAGCCUUGGCAAGACAUCGAAACCCAAUCUUUU